rnacentral:rRNA from 1 species
AGGACGAACGCUGGCGGCGUGCUUAACACAUGCAAGUCGAACGAGGUCCAACCCGUCGCAAGACGGGGGAAGACCUAGUGGCGAACGGGUGAGUAACACGUGAGCAACCUGCCCCAAAGACUGGGAUAACACCGGGAAACCGGUGCUAAUACCGGAUACCCUCACCGGGUCGCAUGGCCUGGUGAGGAAAUGAAUUUCGCUUUGGGAGGGGCUCGCGGGAUAUCAGGUAGUUGGUGGGGUAACGGCCUACCAAGCCCUGACGUCUAGCUGGUCUGAGAGGACGAUCAGCCACACUGGGACUGAGACACGGCCCAGACUCCUACGGGAGGCAGCAGUGGGGAAUCUUGCCCAAUGGGCGAAAGCCUGAGGCAGCAACGCGCGUGUGGGAUGACGGCCCUCGGGUUGUAAACCACUUUCAGCAGGACGAAAAGUGACGGUACCUGCAGAAGAAGCUCCGGCCAACACGUGCCAGCACGCCGC